UUUUAAUAUAUCUAGUUUUUUAAGAAAUAAAUUUAAUUUAGAUAAUUUAUUUUAUUAGUUUAAUUUAAUAAGCUAAUAUAAUAAAUUAUUAAUAUUUUAAGGGAUGAGCUUUAAAAUAAAAUUUUAUAAAUAACAAUAAUUAAGUAAUAAUUGUAAGCUUAGAAUUAGCUAUCAAUAGAAAUUAUGUUUUAAUUUAUUUUUAAUUAAUAUUAUUUAUUAUUUAUUUUAAAUUUUUUAUUAAAAUAUAAAUUUUAAUUUUAUAAAUUUAUUAAUAAUGAUAAAAUUAGUAAAUAUAUUUAAUUGUAUAAAUAAAUCAUUAUUUGAUUGGUUUUUAUAAUUAAUUCGGCAAAUUUUGUGCUCACCUGUUUAUCAAAAACAUGUCUUUUUGGUUAUUUAAUAUAAAGUCUGACCUGCCCACUGAAUUUAUUUUGAAGGGCCGCAGUAUUUUGACUGUGCAAAGGUAGCAUAAUCAUUAGUCUUUUAAUUGAAGGCUGGUAUGAAUGGUUGGAUGAGGUACAAGCUGUGUCAUAAAAAUUAAUAGUUGAAUUUACCUUUUUAGUCAAAAGGCUAAAAUGAAAUUAAAAGACGAGAAGACCCUAUAGAGCUUUAUAUAACUUAUAUUUAAAUUAUUAAGAUUUUUUAAAUUUAAUUAUUAUUUUGUAUUUUGUUGGGGUGACAAUAAAAUUUAUAAAACUUUUAUUAUUAAUUUACAUUUAUUUAUGGUUACAUGAUCCAGUUUUAUUGAUUAUAAAUUUAAGUUACCUUAGGGAUAACAGCGUAAUUUUUUUUGAGAGUUCUUAUCGACAAAAAAGAUUGCGACCUCGAUGUUGGAUUAAGAGCAAUUUUGGGUGUAGAAGUUCAAAGUUCAAGUCUGUUCGACUUUUAAAUUCUUACAU
rnacentral:rRNA from 1 species